AGAGUUUGAUUCUGGCUCAGGAUGAACGCUGGCGGCGUGCUUAACACAUGCAAGUCGAACGGAGUUUUUAAACGGAAGUUUUCGGAUGGAAGUUUAGAAACUUAGUGGCGGACGGGUGAGUAACGCGUGGGUAACCUGCCUCAUACAGGGGGAUAACAGUUAGAAAUGACUGCUAACACCGCAUAAUAUAGCGAAACCGCAUGAUUUUUGCUAUCAAAUAUUUAUAGGUAUGAGAUGGGCCCGCGUCUGAUUAGCUAGUUGGUGGGGUAAAAGCCUACCAAGGCGACGAUCAGUAGCCGGCUUGAGAGAGUGACCGGCCACAUUGGGACUGAGACACGGCCCAAACUCCUACGGGAGGCAGCAGUGGGGAAUAUUGGACAAUGGGGGAAACCCUGAUCCAGCGAACCGCCGCGUGAGUGAAGAAGUAUUUCGGUAUGUAAAGCUCUAUCAGCAGGGAAGAUAAUGACAGUACCUGACUAAGAAGCCCCGGCUAACUACGUGCCAGCAGCGGC
rnacentral:rRNA from 1 species